GAGUUUGAUCCUGGCUCAGAAUCAACGCUUGGCGGCGUGCCUAACACAUGCAAGUCGAACGAGAAAGUGGAGCAAUCCAUGAGUACAGUGGCGAACGGGUGCUUAACACGUGGGCAACCUGCCAUGAAGUGGGGGAUAGCUCGCCGAAAGGCGAAUUAAUACCGCAUGUGAUUAGAGAGGACAUCCUUUCGAAAUUAAAGUCGGGGCAACCUGACGCUUCUUGUGGGGCCCGCGGCCUAUCAGCUAGUUGGUGAGGUAACGGCUCACCAAGGCUUUGACGGGUAGCUGGUCUGAGAGGACGACCAGCCACACUGGGACUGACACACGGCCCAGACACCUACGGGUGGCAGCAGUCGAGAAUUUUUGACAAUGGGGGAAACCCUGAUCGAGCGACGCCGCGUGGAGGAUGAAGGUCUUCGGAUUGUAAACUCCUGUCAUUGGGGAACAAGGUGCAUACGUUAACUGCGUGUGUAUUGAUAGUACCCGAAGAGGAAGAGACGGCUAACUCUGUGCCAGCAGCCGCGGUAAUACG
rnacentral:rRNA from 1 species